UAAACUACAUCAGCUUAAGUACAACUUCGUCUCUUACUGUCUUCCUUUGUCUAUAUAACCUCACAGGCUAUAUUUGUUGGAGAAUCCGGGUACCUCUCUCAACAUCAACAACAAAUUGCAUCAACCAUGGCCUGUACAGCGCAUAUCGAGUCCAUCCUUCCAAAGUUCACCGGGUACGACUCGGAGGAUCCUGAGUUAUGGAUCGACCUGUACGAGAGAUAUGCUCUCCAGAAAGCAUAGACUGCUGUGCAACAAGCCAGCAAUUUUCCUCUCUACCUCGCCAGUUCUGCCAUUUACUGGUACAGAGACUUGCCUACAGCAACAACGGGCACCUUUGCAGAACUAAAACGGGCUUUGCUCAAGAAAUAUGAGCCACACGAAGGCAUGCGAUGGGUACGAUUGUCGAAGCUGGCCGACAGGAAACAACAGCCUAAUGAAGCAGUCAAAAGGUACUUGAGCGACAUAGAGAAACUGUGUUGUCAGUUAAAGCAAUCGCAAGAGAAGAGAAUGGAAGCAUUUGUAAGAGGACUGCUGCCCGACCUCAGAGCCCAUCAUCAAGUCUCAUCCUAAGACAAUGGAUGAGGCGGUAACGCAAGCUAGAAUUGCUCAGUCGACAUCUGCAGCGCAAUUAAGAACCAACCCCAUCCACUGAUGUGAACGUGAACUCUGCAAUCAAGCAGUUGACUUAACAGAUUGCUUCCCUCAAAGACCGGAUCACGACAGUUUUGGAGGCCACUCAGCCAUCUCUUCGAGAUCCACCAAGCAGAGGAUACGAGUUUGGACAGCGUUGCUUCCACCCCAAGCUAAUCUAAGUUUUCCGCCAGCAGCAAGGCCCACUGCAGCGAUCUCAAUCAGCGAUGCCCCCCAUGAUGCACCCGUGUCAUGGAUGUGGAGGUGAGUGUACAAGUAGGCAAACAUGUCCGUCCUGCGGUAUUGAAUGUAACUGUUGUCAUAAGAUAGGUCAUUUUGCUAGAGUGUGCUUCCGAAACCAACCAAAUAACGUCAAUGAUAUCCAUCCUUCUAAUCAAUGACUAGAGACAAGACCCAAUGUCCCACACCUGAGUAAUGUUUCUACCAUGUCAAGCGGGAGCAAUCUAGUUCAAGUCAAAAAUGGCUCAGACUCCCGAUUUGCUUUACUUGACACUGGUGCAUUGAUUUCGUGCAUGACCAGAAAAACACACACAGGUUUUCCCCUAGAUCAGUUCCCUUUGGGUCAGUCCAACAUUCCACUAAUUUCAGGUGUCGCUGGUCACAUUAAAGUUGUGGGCAAAGUUGUUCUCCCAAUUUGUAUCGGGGAGCAAAGUUUUGAACACCCCUUCUACAUCCUCGAAACCAUGCACCAUGAAAUUACAUGUAUUCUUGGUGUAGACUUCUUAAAAGCGCAUAAGCCCACGAUGUCUUUUGAGGAAACUCAUGUAGUGUUCCCCGAUGCACCAUCGAUUCCAUUAGUAGGUAAAGAGGCAAAGAAAGUGACUGUCAGAACAGGCACUUUGCCUGGUAAUGCUGAUGCCCUUUCAUGUAGACAAAUAUGACAACAAUGCCUCUCAAGUUCAAGCCCCGAAUGAGGACCCAAUUCCAGUUGAGACUGUGCAUCAGCCUCAGGAAAACAGUCACUCGGUAACGCUGGGUGAAACAUACGAGUACAAUAAGCCACGGAUAGUGCUUUGGACAAAAUUGUGUUGGAUGAUAAAAAAAAAUCUGCAUUAUUUUUCACUGUCUUCUCAAAAAGUUUGGUAGCUUUGUUCUGUUUUUUAUUGUAGUAGUUUGCUCGUUUUCUUUUUAUUUGUCGUUGUUGUUUUGGUUUUGUUUUUGCUCCAUGCUCAUGAAGAGAACCUUCUCCUAACUUUUCUGCCAUCUGCCUUGGGAGGAUUGCCAAGGCACGUUGCCAUUGAAGAGGUCAGCGAGAUGCUGUAGCUGACUUCAGGAGUUCGAGGCUUGGGAUGUUGACUCUGUCUAGGUUGACUCUGUCUAGGUUGUCAUGCUUUUUCAGGAAGACUCUGUUGUGAAAGCUGGAAUGGCCUGAAACUGCACCACUUUGUGAUGACAUCACUUGUCAGAGAAGCUAUUCUAUGAGGCCUGGGCUUAUAAUAAUAAUAUGCGCUAUGCGCUUUCAUGAAAUCAACAAUUAUACAAAUUGAACAGAUAUGUUUUGACCCGGGUUUUGAAUUGUUCUGAUGUUUCGGCCUGUUUCACAGUAUCUGGUAAGUUGUUCCAUAGCUGAACUGCAGCUGAUUGGAAGGAGCGGGAACCAUAGGACUUAGUUUUGAUGACUGGGGGUGACAACAGAGAUUUAUGGGUAGAACGCAGAUUUCUAAGAUGCACUAGGUUGUUCAUUAAGGAAAAUCACG